UAUCUACUCGCUCCGUCCCGAAUUACUUGUCGUAGAAAUGGAUGUAUCUAGACGUAUUUUUAGUUCUUGAUACAUCCAUUUCUGCGAUGAGUAAUUCGGGACGGAGGGAGUAGUAU
rfam:Hordeum vulgare subsp. vulgare, WGS project CAJW01000000 data, contig: morex_contig_400822